UAAUUGAAGAGUUUGAUCAUGGCUCAGAUUGAACGCUGGCGGCAGGCCUAACACAUGCAAGUCGAGCGGUAACAGGGGAAGCUUGCUUCCCGCUGACGAGCGGCGGACGGGUGAGUAAUGUAUGGGGAUCUGCCCGAUAGAGGGGGAUAACUACUGGAAACGGUGGCUAAUACCGCAUAAUCUCUUAGGAGCAAAGCAGGGGACCUUCGGGCCUUGC
rnacentral:rRNA from 2 species